rnacentral:rRNA from 1 species
GACGAACGCUGGCGGCGUGCUUAACACAUGCAAGUCGAACGGAAAGGCCCUGCUUUUGUGGGGUGCUCGAGUGGCGAACGGGUGAGUAACACGUGAGUAACCUGCCCUUGACUUUGGGAUAACUUCAGGAAACUGGGGCUAAUACCGGAUAGGAGCUCCUGCUGCAUGGUGGGGGUUGGAAAGUUUCGGCGGUUGGGGAUGGACUCGCGGCUUAUCAGCUUGUUGGUGGGGUAGUGGCUUACCAAGGCUUUGACGGGUAGCCGGCCUGGGAGGGUGACCGGCCACAUUGGGCCUGAGAUACGGCCCAGACUGCUACGGGAGGCAGAAGUGGGGAAUAUUGCACAACGGGGGGAAGCCUGAUGCAGCAACGUCGCGUGCGUGAUGACGGCCUUCGGGUUGUAAACAGAUUUCGACUGUGACGAAGCGUGAGUGACGGUAAUGGGUAAAGAAGCACCGGCUAACUACGUG